rnacentral:rRNA from 1 species
CCUACGGGAGGCAGCAGUGAGGAAUAUUGGUCAAUGGUCGGGAGACUGAACCAGCCAAGCCGCGUGAGGGAGGAAGGUACAGAGUAUCGUAAACCUCUUUUGUCAGGGAACAAAGACUGGGACGCGUCCCCGGAUGAGUGUACCUGAAGAAAAAGCAUCGGCUAACUCCGUGCCAGCAGCCGCGGUAAUACGGAGGAUGCGAGCGUUAUCCGGAUUUAUUGGGUUUAAAGGGGGCGCAGGCGGUCUGUUAAGUCAGCGGUCAAAGCCCGGGGCUCAACCCCGGCCCGCCGUUGAAACUGGCAGUCUCGAGUUGGAGAGAAGUAUGCGGAAUGCGCGGUGUAGCGGUGAAAGGCAUAGAUAUCGCGCAGAACUCCGAUUGCGAAGGCAGCAUGCCGGCUCCACACUGACGCUGAGGCACGAAAGCGUGGGUAUCGAACAGGAUUAGAUACCCGUGUAGUC